GGCUAGCGCGAGAUUGCGGCCCCGCUCGCCGCCUGGGGUUCUUUCUUUCCGCUGGAUAUCCAGCUCGUCGGAGUCCAGCUUUGACGCAUCCAUUCGCUUUCCGACUUCAUGCGGUUGAGAGGCGAUCGAUCCAUGGCGCUGGCUCAGUGUCCGCCUUUUCUUCUUGGCUUGACGACCUCUCGUCCUCCGCCGCCACCAGAAGAAGACGUAGCGGACUAGGGCAUCCAUCGGGCUCCCUUGUCCCCUCCUCCAAGCGAGUGUUCUCGGUUCCCUCUUUUAUCGCUACUCCUUCCGGGAGUCACGGUCUUCCAACAACUACGACCACAUCCCUAAACAAUUCCGGGGGGAAAAUCUCAAACAUGGAUUCUGAUUUACUAAUUUAGUGAACUGGAGCUUGCAAAUGUUGAUCGAGUAAAAAAGAAAAAGUGUAUGGCAAAAAUUUUGGGCUUGCCAAAGGUAUUUUCUUCUCGCUUUUACACUGAUGGACCAUUAUAAAAAUGCUCCUAAAUACCUGCAUCUGCUUCAUGCCUAUACAUGUCUAUUGAUGUCGCCACCAACGGGAAGAACUAGUGCUCUGCUGUGCGAUAGUAAAUGGGCAGUUGAGUACCUGGAAAUGUCAUCAUUAUUGUUCUUUCCAAUGAUCAACCUCUACAGCAGUAUUGAAUGCUAAAGAUGUAUUCUAUUUGUAUUUGGCUAGCAUCAACUGUAUGGUCGUGAACAGGUUUAAAAGUAUGGUUUUAUUUUGGAAAUAUUGUUGCUA